rnacentral:rRNA from 1 species
AUUGAACGCUGGCGGCAUGCUUUACACAUACAAGUCGAACGGUAACAGGUUAAGCUGACGAGUGGCGAACGGGUGAGUAAUGCAUCGGAACGUGCCCGGUCGUGGGGGAUAACGCAGCGAAAGCUGCGCUAAUACCGCAUACGAUCUGAGGAUGAAAGCGGGGGACCGUAAGGCCUCGCGCGAUCGGAGCGGCCGAUGUCAGAUUAGGUAGUUGGUGGGGUAAAGGCCCACCAAGCCGACGAUCUGUAGCUGGUCUGAGAGGACGACCAGCCACACUGGGACGGAGACACGGCCCAGACUCCUACGGGAGGCAGCAGUGGGGAAUUUUGGACAAUGGGCGAAAGCCUGAUCCAGCAAUGCCGCGUGCAGGAAGAAGGCCUUCGGGUUGUAAACUGCUUUUGUACGGAGCGAAAAGGUCCUUUCUAAUACAAGGGGCUCAUGACGGUACCGUAAGAAUAAGCACCGGCUAACUACGUGCCAGCAGCCGCAGUAA